AUGGUGAGUCAGGUGCUCCCCCAGCUUCAGAGCCGCAGAUAAUACCCUACAGGCCUAUCUAUUCCACGGAGGACUCAUUCCUAAAGCCCACUCCUGCUUUCCAGGCCCUGCUGGCAUUGGACUGGCUAACUAAGCCAUCUGGAGACGUUUCUGAGGGAGUGACGAGUGACCACAUUCCUCUUACCCAUAUUUGUCACCCCACAGGACCAGUGUGGGCCACGGCUGACAGUGCAGGCCUUGGGAGAGCCUCAGUGAGAAAGACUGGGCUUUGUGAGGAGAGCUGACCCAAGAAGGCUGCAUCUGGCCCCUGGGACUUAGUCUGUGGAUGGAAAGUGUGGAUGGGCAAGAAGACAAUGGAAUGAUGAAUUGUUGCUGAACUGGGACAGUCUUUGGUAUGCAUGGGAAGAAGUUCCUCAGGCCUCUUGAGAGGGUUCACAGAUGGUGAUACGCUGGGGCAGCCUUUAUAGGGAGUUCAAAGUCAUCGCAUCGAAACUCCAGGACAGGUGGAAACUGAAUGCAGAGAAGGAACUGCAAAGGAAAUAUUACAAAGUUGUUCCCAGGGGAAGAUGAAGAGCACAAAAGCCAAAUUGUAGGCAAGGAGUAUAAUAGACAAG